rnacentral:rRNA from 1 species
CCAACCGGGAAUCCCCUAGUAGCGGCGAGCGAAGCGGGAAGAGCUCAAAUUUAUAAUCUGGCACCUUCGGUGUCCGAGUUGUAAUCUCUAGAAAUGUUUUCCGCGUUGGACCGCACACAAGUCUGUUGGAAUACAGCGGCAUAGUGGUGAGACCCCCGUAUAUGGUGCGGACGCCCAGCGCUUUGUGAUACAUUUUCGAAGAGUCGAGUUGUUUGGGAAUGCAGCUCAAAUUGGGUGGUAAAUUCCAUCUAAAGCUAAAUAUUGGCGAGAGACCGAUAGCGAACAAGUACCGUGAGGGAAAGAUGAAAAGCACUUUGGAAAGAGAGUUAACAGUACGUGAAAUUGUUGGAAGGGAAACGCUUGAAGUCAGACUUGCUUGCCGAGCAAUCGGUUUGCAGGCCAGCAUCAGUUUUCCGGGAUGGAUAAUGGUAGAGAGAAGGUAGCAGUUUCGGCUGUGUUAUAGCUCUCUGCUGGAUACAUCUUGGGGGACUGAGGAACGCAGUGUGCCUUUGGCGGGGGUUUCGACCUCUUCACACUUAGGAUGCUGGUGGAAUGGCUUUAAACGACCCGUCUAAAAACGGGAAAAAAAAAAAAAGAAAAUUUAAAAAAG